rnacentral:snRNA from 1 species
GCCGCGUGCCGGCCGGGGGA